UUGAAUGUCUGCCCCUAUAAUGGUAUAUAUUCGUAAUCAGAGGAGCGAAAUCUAUAAGUGUACAAAGUUUCAAUGAAAUUGGUGAGUUGAAGGUCUUGCACUCUCCUUGUAAGUCUAAGGUUUGCAACAUGUUAGAAACGUAUAGAAAUAACCAUGCAUUACAUUAGAGCAUGCCGCUGACCUUUUGACUCCGUGACUAUUAUAGUCAAAGUUUUGAUCAGUCUGCAUUGUAGACUCUACAAAAAAUUUAGUCCAGUUCCGAUUUAUCUUAUCAACUUUUGAAGCUUAUUAUACGUAUUUUAACACUUUACCGACCGAUCGUGUCUCGCAAACUGAUUUACCGGCUUGGUAAAAAAUUGAUUGUUUCGAAGCGCACUCUUUAUACAAGGACGAUGAACGAUGACUCUGAGAACGUUAGUAAAGACGAAUAUAAAUAUUUACGUAUCGAAUAUUAGUCGUGUCGUUACAAAAUUAUGAUAUUUAUAUUAUACAAAUUACUUGUGAAUCUAAUGAUACAUUAGUCUAAUCAUUGGGAUGUAUAAUAAGACGAGCGACAUAGAAUAUGUGACGGUAGAAAAGAUACGAAGGACUUUUGGAAAUACAAACUUAAAUGAGAAGUGGGGUUGCCCCCACUCGCCGCUUGGCGGCGCGAGCCGAAGGAGUCAUUCGUUCCGUGGAAAUUGGCGCGAUACGACGUGCUGAGCGUUUCGCAAUUAACUAGGACUCUGAUUGAAAUUUGAACGGGAAUUUCGAGUCAUCGAUGCUACAAUGCUUGGCGUUUGAUUCAAACAGAAUCUCAUCAAGAGUGGUGAAGUUUGCAACUUAUUCAAACGAAACGGUAUCAUAUUUAUUCAUAUUUUU